AUUGAACGCUGGCGGCAGGCCCAACACAUGCAAGUCGAGCGGCAGCGGGAAAGUAGCUUGCUACUUUUGCCGGCGAGCGGCGGACGGGUGAGUAAUGCCUGGGGAUCUGCCCAGUCGAGGGGGAUAACUACUGGAAACGGUAGCUAAUACCGCAUACGCCCUACGGGGGAAAGCAGGGGACCUUCGGGCCUUGCGCGAUUGGAUGAACCCAGGUGGGAUUAGCUAGUUGGUGAGGUAAUGGCUCACCAAGGCGACGAUCCCUAGCUGGGCUGAGAGGAUGAUCAGCCACACUGGAACUGAGACACGGUCCAGACUCCUACGGGAGGCAGCAGUGGGGAAUAUUGCACAAUGGGGGAAACCCUGAUGCAGCCAUGCCGCGUGUGUGAAGAAGGCCUUCGGGUUGUAAAGCACUUUCAGCGAGGAGGAAAGGUUGGUAGCUAAUAACUGCCAGCUGUGACGUUACUCGCAGAAGAAGCACCGGCUAACUCCGUGCCAGCAGCCGCAGUAAUAC
rnacentral:rRNA from 1 species